rnacentral:misc_RNA from 1 species
UCUCCGUAGGUGAACCUGCGGAGGGAUCAUUACUGAACGAUCAUCCUUGAUCUUCUACCCUCAAACCCUGUGGACACAAGAUGUGCUUCGGCGUGCGAGCGCCGCCUUUAUGCAUCAAGUUGUUUAUGUCUGAAUCAAUAAUGUCAAAACUUUCAACAAAGGAUCUCUUGGCUCUCGCAUCGAUGAAGAACGUAGC